ACAGAGAAUUGCGCCGUGCCCGAACUCUCUCUAGCCCGAGAUUCCCGCCGCGUCUCUCUCGCUCGUGAUUUUACACUUCUGUUUCGUACAAAGUUCUCGGCUCGGCAGAUAGUCUAUAACUGCCGCGGCGAGACUUCUCUCUUUUUAACCUCCGGUUUUCCGCAAAAGCUAAUAAAGAAAAUUGUUUCGUAUCGUCCCCAAAAUCUCGUAUCAUUAUUGUAGCUGCUCCCCUUUGCACAAACAAUUAUUAAGGCAAAGAGAGACUUCUUGUUGUUGAGUUUAUGCCUAAUCAGACUUUGGCCAGUUCUUGAACUUAUUGUAAGGACUCAAAUCCAAGACUUUCGUGCUUUGGUCUGAUGAAAAAUAGUAGAGACGAAUGAAUUACAGUAUCAAUCUGGCAUUCACUCCUCUUGAGUAUCUCAUAAGAAGUAUUUACUUGAAGUCUUGCAUAUCAUUUUUCUUUAUUUAGAUCACCACACUGAAUGUUUUGAAACUUACCCAAGGUUAAGUAGUUUGAGUCUGAGACAGGGUGAGUGCUUGUAACCACUGUUCCAUUUUAACACUUUGAAACAUAAGAGACAACAAAUAUUAGCGAUAAACAAAAUAGGAUUUAGUAAAAGUACAGAGAAUUAGGUGAUAUUAACUUUAUCAUCAGCGAAAAUACAUUCAAGAGUCUCCAAACUUUGACUUGGACCCUCCAAACUGUUUUGUAGCUACCAUCAUUGAUAAAAAAGUGACUAAUUUCUUAUGCUAUUGUUUGCUUUGAAUUGUGGUUUUGCGGAUAAUUGAGGAAGUGGUGAAUGGAAAUAUAACCUAUUGCUUGACUUGACGACCAGAUUUUGUAGUACAUGACACAGAUAUAUAUAGUAGAGGAUUCGUGGUGUAGGACUUUGUAACCUAUCGCUUGACUUGACGACCAAGUGUAAGUAAUUUCAAAGUUUUUGGAAAGCAAA